rnacentral:lncRNA from 1 species
UGGAUUCAGCUAUUGAUCGAUGUUCUUCAAGUGCUGGUUUGCUGAGGCAGUAUUCAGAAGAAGAAGAAGAAGAAGAAACACAGAUCUGAGAAGAGUAUAGGUUAAGCUAGUUCAUUGUGAUGAGAUGUGGAAAGGAAAAUAGUUGUGUUGUUUGACACGAUGCAAAACUGGACCAUCCCGUCGAAACAUUUUGAUCAGUGGCUCUGUAGAAAAGAAAAGAAGAGGAUCUGUCAACAUGAUGCCAAAAUGGAUCAAUCAGGGUCAAAAUAUUGAAUAUAAAUUAAUGGAGGUUACAUUACUUGUAAAAGGGAAGGUUGAAACUGAAAUAACAAGUUAAAAACAGUAGAGAAAUUAAAAAGAAAAAACAAUGAAUUUAAGGAUUACAGAAACUGAGAAAGACAAAUUUAAUUUGUUUUGGGAACUAUAGAAUAUGAUCCUAACUCCAAAGUUUCUCAAUAAAAUUUCUACAACUUGUUUUGGCAUUUAAAAGAUCCAAACAAUAAUAACAUGUGAAGAACAAAAAAUAAUAUACCUGGAUUCAGCUAUUGAUCGAUGUUCUUCAAGUGCUGGUUUGCUGAGGCAGUAUUCAGAAGAAGAAGAAGAAGAAGAAGAAGCACAGAUCUGAGAAGAGUAUAGGUUAAGCUAG